rnacentral:lncRNA from 1 species
GCGAUGCUGGUGUCAUGUUUGGACUGCAGUCACUGCAAAGGUGAGGUGCUUCUGUGCCACUAGCUUUAUUGAAAAUGCUUAAUAUUACAAGGCAUUCUUGAGCAUCUGCUGCUUCAAUCAAAGAAUAGAAACAAUGAAAUACAUUUUAUGUGUUAAUUCUUUUUUCUAUAAUAAAAUGAUUUUAUUGGAUUAAAUGAAUAUUGAUUAUUAAAAAGAGUUCUAAAAAUUCUCUUGCUUUCAUGAUUCUUGUAGCAAUCAGAUAUCAUUAGGUAGUCCUAAAAUCACUUUCUAACCUACCUCUAUUAUACUUACAGGAGAAAAAAAGAUGACAAGCAUCCACAUAGACUGUUUGAUUCUCUAUAUUACAACUUCCCAAUAGAACAGUUCUUCCUGAGAAAUCUAUCAGUGCAGUUCAGACUCUGGAAGCAAAUGACCUCUCCGGGCAGAGCCUUCACCGUGUGGGGAACAUCAGAUUUGUGUAAGGAUUACCUAUCUCUUUUUAGGUAUGCACUGUUGAGAAGGUACUGCGAAGGCCACAGGUCACUCAGGAAAAUUUGGGGGAGUUUUCUAGGUUCAAUGGAGACUGGACAUCAAAGCUGCACUGGGACAUCUGG